ACCAGUUUGAGCCAGAGUCUGACCCAGAGGGAGAGGCUCCGGAAGAAACUCUCAGCCGCGUUCAGACCAAACGCGACUUGAAGCGACCUAGUCGACACAUCCUAUGUAUUAUUCAAAGCCGCCAGGAGGGUCACGCUUAAGGAGGAAGAUAAGAAUGUAGAAAAAAAAUACAACCAGAGCUCUGCUACAAUGUAAGAUUUUGGUGCUCUAAAACUUCUCUGAAGCCUUUGCUAAUAAAUUAGAUGGCCGACCGUCCAGCAUUAGCCGGGACGUCCCGUAUUUGAGCCAAAAGAGGCGCGUCGCCGCACGGGUAAAUGCUAAAGCUACAUGCUGCUCUAGAGGGGGGUUUUGUCCCCGGCGGCGGAGUUGUCGGGGAAGAAGCGAGCGGCUAAAAUACGGGAGGAUCCGGUAAACCGGCGCGGAUCCGGUGUGUUUAUCAAAGCGUGGUGGCCGUGCUGAGGCACCGGGGAGAAUUUAGGCUAAACGGUGAGUCAAAAUAAAACGUUAAUACUUACAGAUGCCACGUUUGUAGUAGGAUCACGGAUAGUUGGUACGGAUCCAUUCUUUAUCUUCAGACAUCUAGCAAAUCCAGCGUUGAACUGUCCCUCGUUUAUAAAACAGUCCGAAGUGAAAUGGUGCGCACAUAAGUACAGAUAUGUUGGAAGUGCCGCGGGUACAUUCACAUUAUAAAUAAAAUCCACCCAUUGAGUCCUCAACUCCUCCGACCAGGGAGUUUUCAAAAGAGUUUUGUGCUCGUUUGUGCAGCCAACAACAGAGCAAACGCUGCCUCUAUUUCAGAUCGUACUUCCGCCAUGGUUCUAACCGGAGCUAUGCGAGCGAGCGGCCGGAAAUAAUGGCGGUGUUUUGAUAAUUUUGUAGGCAGGGCAGUGGGCGGCUCCAUGGGCAGUACCAUCAACCCGCCAGCACUGACAUGACGUCAUGUCCGGCCAGCUCUGAGCACACAGUUCCUAAAUACGGAAACAACUACAAAACGACUGGAUGGAUUUUUUUCGAACUUGGGGCGAUUGUAGCGGUUUUCUAUCCCUGAUAUGCACCCCCCUCCCGUUAACAAAGUCAGUUUUUCAUGCCAUGGCCCUUUUAAGACAGUCAUGCAUAAAGAGAAAAGUUAGCCAAUAGAUUAAAGAUGAACAAAGUUAACUCACUAAAAAUGAUUUAAAAUGGGUGAACCUUGAUGCUAAAUUUAGCUGCAUUGACCAUGAAUGUAAUAUCUACUUAAAUCUGAAUCCUAGAGAAACUGUGCCAAUUGUAUAGUGUUAUAGGGUAUAUUUUUUAGCAAAUAAGUGAUUACUGAUUGAGAAAAUUUGGUAUUUGCAAUAAAAUCUCAUUGUAUUUCCUUUAGGUUCACAGGUUUACUGAACUAGGGAGGGCAAUGAUGUGGAAAAAAAAGGUUGAAACCAAACUCAGACUGCCCGCUUGGAGGACCAAACCCUCAAAGAGCAUCUCUUCAUUCAUCACAACCAC